GGGACGGGUGAGUAACACGUGGGUAACCUACCUAUAAGACUGGGAUAACUUCGGGAAACCGGAGCUAAUACCGGAUAAUAUUUCGAACCGCAUGGUUCGAUAGUGAAAGAUGGUUUUGCUAUCACUUAUAGAUGGACCCGCGCCGUAUUAGCUAGUUGGUAAGGUAACGGCUUACCAAGGCGACGAUACGUAGCCGACCUGAGAGGGUGAUCGGCCACACUGGAACUGAGACACGGUCCAGACUCCUACGGGAGGCAGCAGAG
rnacentral:rRNA from 1 species